CUUCGACGAGUCGAGUAGUUUGGGAAUGCUGCUCAAAAUGGGAGGUAAAUUUCUUCUAAAGCUAAAUACCGGCCAGAGACCGAUAGCGCACAAGUAGAGUGAUCGAAAGAUGAAAAGCACUUUGAAAAGAGGGUUAAAAAGUACGUGAAAUUGUUGAAAGGGAAGCGCCUGUGACCAGACUUGCGCCCCGCGGACCACCCGGCGUUCUCGCCGGUGCACUCUGCGGUGCGCAGGCCAGCAUCGGUUCUCCCAGGGGGACAAAGGCCGCGGGAACGUAGCUCCUUCGGGAGUGUUAUAGCCCGCGGCGGCAUGCCCCUGGGGGGACCGAGGACCGCGCUUCGGCAAGGAUGCUGGCGUAAUGGUCACCAGCGACCCGUCUUGAACCACGGAC
rnacentral:rRNA from 1 species